CGUUAAGUUGCAGGGUAUAGACCCGAAACCCGGUGAUCUAGCCAUGGGCAGGUUGAAGGUUGGGUAACACUAACUGGAGGACCGAACCGACUAAUGUUGAAAAAUUAGCGGAUGACCUGUGGCUGGGGGUGAAAGGCCAAUCAAACCGGGAGAUAGCUGGUUCUCCCCGAAAGCUAUUUAGGUAGCGCCUCGUGAAUUCAUCUCCGGGGGUAGAGCACUGUUUCGGCUAGGGGGCCAUCCCGGCUUACCAACCCGAUGCAAACUGCGAAUACCGGAGAAUGUUAUCACGGGAGACACACGGCGGGUGCUAACGUCCGUCGUGAAGAGGGAAACAACCCAGACCGCCAGCUAAGGUCCCAAAGUCAUGGUUAAGUGGGAAACGAUGUGGGAAGGCCCAGACAGCCAGGAUGUUGGCUUAGAAGCAGCCAUCAUUUAAAGAAAGCGUAAUAGCUCACUGGUCGAGUCGGCCUGCGCGGAAGAUGUAACGGGGCUAAACCAUGCACCGAAGCUGCGGCAGCGACGCUGAUGCGUUGUUGGGUAGGGGAGCGUUCUGUAAGCCUGCGAAGGUGGCCUGUGAGGGUUGCUGGAGGUAUCAGAAGUGCGAAUGCUGACAUAAGUAACGAUAAAGCGGGUGAAAAGCCCGCUCGCCGGAAGACCAAGGGUUCCUGUCCAACGUUAAUCGGGGCAGGGUGAGUCGACCCCUAAGGCGAGGCCGAAAGGCGUAGUCGAUGGGAAACGGGUUAAUAUUCCCGUACUUGGUGUUACUGCGAAGGGGGGACGGAGAAGGCUAUGUUGGCCGGGCGACGGUUGUCCCGGUUUAAGCGUGUAGGUGUGUGUUCCAGGUAAAUCCGGUUCACUUUAACACUGAGGCGUGAUGACGAGGCACUACGGUGCUGAAGCAACAAAUGCCCUGCUUCCAGGAAAAGCCUCUAAGCAUCAGGUAACAUCAAAUCGUACCCCAAACCGACACAGGUGGUCAGGUAGAGAAUACCAAGGCGCUUGAGAGAACUCGGGUGAAGGAACUAGGCAAAAUGGUGCCGUAACUUCGGGAGAAGGCACGCUGACA
rnacentral:rRNA from 1 species